rnacentral:sRNA from 1 species
AAGAGCGCGGGCGGCGAGGCAAGAUGGCGGCAACCAAGAGGAAACGGCGUGGAGGUUUUGCAGUUCAGGCGAAGAAGCCAAAAAGAAACGAAAAAGAUGCGGAGCCGCCAGCUAAGCGGCACGCCACAGCAGAGGAGGUGGAGGAAGAAGAGAGGGACCGGAUCCCAGGCCCCGUUUGCAAGGGAAAGUGGAAAAAUAAGGAACGGAUUCUCAUCUUUUCUUCCAGAGGAAUAAAUUUCAGAACAAGACAUUUAAUGCAGGACUUGAGAAUGUUGAUGCCUCAUUCUAAAGCAGAUACUAAAAUGGAUCGUAAGGAUAAGCUAUUUGUGAUUAACGAGGUAAUUUUGGAAAGUAAUUGCAAUAAAAUAUUUUAAAAACAUUAACAAUGGCUCAUUUCAAAAAUAAGUCAUUCAGUGACUUUAAAAAUUGUUUUGUAAAAACUAUUCAGACACAUUUUAUUAACUCUUCAAUAACUGGUCUUCCAAAGUUUUCUCUCUCACAGUUUAGUGCUUCAGUCAUUUCUGUUUGUUUUGUCUGAACAAGCAUAUUGAAAUUUCCUCAGAAGGAUUAUGUCCCGUUUUUUAACCCCGUAGUGUCUAGUAUUAUGCUAAAUCCAUAGUAGGUACUCAAAAAAUUAUCAGUCAACAUAUAUAAAGUAAAAUAAGUCCAUUAAACAUAUACACGUAUAAAACCCACAUGGUAAAAAGUGUUUUGCCAGUAUUAAAAGUGAUUUGUGUGGAACUGGCUCUUAAGGUAUUACAAACUAGGAAGAGGUUACAUUUUCAAAGUAUUGUUUAAGAUACUAAUGUAUAUUUUUUUAACCUCUGGAAGCACAGAACAUAAAUUUACAUUUUAAAGCAAAAUUUUCAAAACUUAGAAGAAUUAGGAUCAUUUUUUCACUAUUAGCCUUCUUUAGAGCACAAAUUUUUGAACCUCUGCUGUAAUACCACAUUAUUCUAUGUGCUGUAGAAACUGUUUAACAGAGCAAUGUCCCUGUCAUUAUGGAACUUAUAUUCUAAUGGAGACAGGCCAUAAACAAGGUUUAUAAUUUCAAGUAAAGAUAGGAGAAAUAAAGCAGGUUAUAGGUUUUCGACAGCUGAGGCUAGACCGGAAAAACCUGUUCAAAGGGAUGGUAUAUUUGAGCAGAGACCUAGUGAAGGAGAAAUAUGGUAAAAGACCAUUCUAGCUAGAGAAAAUGGCAACUACAAAGGCCCAGAAGUGGCACAAACUUCCUGUUUUUGUGUUUAUUCUAAGACCAGUAAGAAACAAAAAUUUUUUUUUUUUUAAGUUGUUAGGGUUUAUUUGUUUAACUGGUUUUGGAGACAAAGUCUCACUCUGUUACCCAGGCUGGAGUGAGGUGGUAUGAUCUCAGCUCACUGCAGCCUCUGUUUCAUGGGUUUAAGCAAUUCUCCUGCCUCAGCCUCCCGAGUAGCCGGAACUACAGGCACACGCCACUAUGCCCAGCUAAUUUUUUGUAUUUUUAGUAGAGACGUGGCUUUGCCGGGUUGCUCAGACAAUUCACCUGCCUUGGCCUCCCAAAGUGCUGGGGUUACAGGCAUGAACCACCUCAUCCAGCCAUAAGUUGUUAGGUUUAAAGUCUUAAAUAGUUUGGAGUUUAAGAGUACUAUAUUAAUUAGAGUUUGUGAAUACUACAGUAAUACAAGACUUCACUCCUGUAAUGUUUUUAUAUCAAGUGUGACUUUUGUAAGCCUUCAAGACAUUGAAGUUUAAUUUGAAAUAGGUUUUAUAUACUUAGGCUUUUCACCCAAUCCCUUAGUGAUUUUAUAGAACCAAAUCACCAGAAAUCAUAGUAUAAAUGAACAACUUAAGUUUUGUGAUCUUAAAAUCAAAAAGCUAAAAAGUUAAAAACCAAAAUAAUCAUUAAAAAGGAUGUUUUUAGUUCUAUAAGGACUGGAUUUUCAUAAGAUUGGCUAAGAAGAUUGAUUAUGAAGGAUUAAUAUAAGAAGAUUAGUUGUGGUAUGCCUUAUCCAUAGGGCAUCUAUUUUUAGUCUUUGUAGUUUGUAAAUGGGACUAUGGGCAGAAGAGGUUCCUGGCCGGGCGCGGUGGCUCACGCCUGUAAUCCCAGCACUUUGGGAGGCCGAGGCAGGCAGAUCACCUGAGGUUGUGAGUUCAAGACCAGCCAGACCAACAUGGAGAAACCCCAUCUCUACUAAAAAUACAAAAUUAGCGGGGUGUGAUGGCACAUGCCUAUAAUAUCCCGGCUACUCCGGAGGCUGAAGCAGGAGAAUCAUUUGAACCUGGGAGGUGGAGGUUGUGGCGAGCUGAGAUCGUGCCAUUUCACUCCAGCCUGGGCAACAAGAGCGAAAUUCCAUCUCAAAAAAAAAGAG